CCCGCAGUUCGAUUGGAGACACCGGCCGGCAUCGACGGCUGUUGUGGAGCUCCCUUCACUUUCGUGUUCGCGCGUGUGUUAAAGUCUCUUUAGUAAUCAUAUCUUUCUUUCUUUUGUCUUGAACAACGAUCGUGAGAUCAUUCUUGAUAGGUACAACGUCUAAACGAAUGUUUCCGAUCGUUACUUUUCCGUGUUCUUUUACAAUCAUUCUUCUCUACCUUCCUUUUCUAUCGCGGUGAAAUAUUUCUUUUACGAGUGUCUUUAAUAAGCUAUCUCAUUGAGUUUUUCUUUUAAUAUAUUAAAUUAAUCAAAUAAUCGUAAAUAUAUCGCGAAAAGUGGUGUAUAUACAGUUAUUACUUUCUGUGAUUUCAAACGUUCGUGCCGUGGCGUUGUCGAUCGUAUUGCGUAGUUCCGAUUCGUGUGACAUAACUAUGGUUUCAAGCAGUUCAAUUGUGGUCAUUGAACUAUAUGAAGAUUAAGGAAGAAUCGAUUCAAAUCGAGAAGUGUCGCUGAUCGAUCGAAACGCGAUAUCAGUGUGCUCUCUACGCGACGGUGAACUCGCGAUAAUCGAUAGUCGAUCGAGAAGUUCGAUUUGCGAGAAAUGCGAAAGUGAACUCAGUCGGGGCGAACGCGUGCAUGUACAUCGCAGGACGAUGGCUGAACUUCGUGUUUAUCGGUUUUUCGUGAUCCUUGUUCAUCUGGCGAUUGUCUUGGUGUUUGCUCAGAAUCCUAUCGAGGAGAAGACCACAUUCGAGGCUGCUUUUCAAGGAAGAUGCGGCCACGGGUCUCCCUGCGAGCAGCUCUGCUACGAGCUUCACGAUGGGAUGUACGAGUGCGAUUGCAAGGACGGGUACAUCCUUCAUAAAAAUGGAUACAGCUGCGCCGAGCUGAAUUCGACAUCGCCGUCGACAGGCGAGCUCGGCGAAUUGGUGGAAGACGUGGAGAACGACGAAUUAAACAAAGACACGGACGACGAUGAAGAUGCCGUCGAGGACAUCCUUUAUAUGCGCGGUGCAUCGUUCACGAUACACUUGGAUCCCCCGCCAGAAAAUUCCACCACGAAUUCCACCAGCAAAAUUAUCGAGGAAACUAGCCCACCCGUCGAUCGAGUCGAACUACGAGCCACGUCUCAAGGCCCCAAUUUGGAACAAAAACUGCCUUCCACGAUGGAGAGCAUAGUGAGCACGGAGCCAGCGUGCUCGUUAGACUGUGGCCCAGCCGGAAACUGUUACAUCGAGCAGAGCCACGGCGACGACGUCGAUCUGAUCGACGACGACGACGACGACGAUGACGACGACGACGACGACGACGACGCGGACGACGAGACGGGGGGCGACGCCUCGAUGGCCAUGGAUCUCGAAGGGAACGACGUCGCACCGAGACGGAAGCAAGGGUCCUUCAGGCAACGGUGUCAAUGCCCCCUGGGAAGGGGUGGCGAUCGAUGCCAGCUCGAGGCCGAGGUAAGAUCGCCCAGGUUUACAGGUUCCGGUUGGCUUGCGUUUCCCGCGUUGAAGGCCGCAUACAAGCACGUCCAGUUGGAACUGGAAUUCCGUCCCGAGGCGUGGGAUGGUAUCUUGCUUCUGGCCGGGGAGAGGGACGAUCUUCAGGGUGACUUCAUGGCCUUGAUUCUGCAUCACGGAUUCAUCGAGUUCAGGUUCGAUUGUGGGAGCGGAGUCGGCACAGUGAGGAGCACGCAAACAGUGAGGUUGAACGAAUGGAACACCCUGACUGUCUACAGGCAUCGAUGGGACGCCUGGAUUCAGCUGAAUCAAGAGAAACGAGUCGAAGGAAGAUCGAAGGGCUUGUUUGCGAGAAUUACCUUCCGCGAGCCAUUGUUCGUCGGCGGACCUGGAAACACAACCGGCCUCGAGCGACUUCCGGUGAGGACCGGAUUUAAGGGUUGCGUCCGGCAUCUGGAAGCCAAUGAACACCGUUAUCGCUUCCCUCUCGCGCCACAAGGGGAUGCUGCGAACGGUUUCGACGUUGAGGAAUGCACGGCGGACAGAUGCAGCAAGGUACCAUGUUCCCAUGGCGGGAAAUGCUUGACUACCGGAGGCGACACGGCUGUAUGUCUCUGCCCCCUCGGAUACACCGGCGACCUGUGCGAGACCAGGGUCGAUUUGCAGGUACCUUCGUUCAAUGGAUCCUCUUAUCUGCGUUACCCUGGAUUGGCCGACACGUCGCUAUCCUGGCUGGAAUUGGCUGUCACGUUGAAACCAACUGUCGCAGAUGGAGUUAUACUUUACAAUGGCCAUCACAGCGACGCCACCGGCGAUUUCAUCGCGUUGUACCUGUCGUCCGGCCAUGUUCAGUUUACCUUUGACCUGGGAACAGGGCCAGCCAGUUUGAGAAGCGAGAAUCCUGUUCGUCUUGGAGAGUGGGUGGAGGUUCGAGUGUCGAGAACCGGACGUUUGGCCUCGCUCGAAGUCGAGGACGACCCUCCGCAGGAAAUCCUAGCGCCAGGCGCUUUCACACAACUGUCGUUGCCGUUAAAUCUUUACUUGGGCGGCGCGCCAUCCACUGACAUGUAUUCCCCGAAGAUGAAAACGACCGCCAGCUUCGUGGGAUGCGUUCAGACGGUCAUUUUGAAUCGUCGCGAGAUCGGAAUCCUCGCCGAGGCUUUGGGCGGGGUGAACGUGGGCAAUUGCGGGCACGCGUGCGAGGCGAGACCGUGCGGAGACGCGGAGUGCCGUCCUCUUCGGGACCGAUUCACGUGUCGCUGUCGACCUGGCAUGCCGCAUCCCUGUCCAGCGCCGACAACACGAUUUUGGACAGCUCACCCUCGAAACCGAACGCUGCCACGCGGUUCGAGAGAUCCGUGCCCAGUUUCUCGGGCAGCGAGAGCUAUCUCCACUACAACGACGCGGACACGAUGAAGAGGAUAAUAAGCUACAGGGUGGACAUCAAUAUGAGAUUCAGGGCGAGCAGCAGUAGCGGGCUGCUGCUUUGGAGCGGGCGGCAAGCGGAUCCGCAAGAGCAAAGGGACGAGAACGACGAUUUUCUAGCCCUCGGAUUGGAUCGUGGCUAUUUGACUUUAGCUUACAAUCUUGGCUCGGGCGAGGCUGUUCUGCGGUACAAUUUGACGAGACUGGACGAUGAUCUAUGGCAUCGGGUCCGAGCAGUGAGGAACGAACAGUGGGCGUCGCUUGUCGUCGACAGCGGUACAGGCGUUUCCGCGUCGUCGCCUGGACAGCUCAGACAAUUGAACACUGACACGGGUCUUUACGUCG
rnacentral:misc_RNA from 1 species